AAGAAGCCUCACACACUCAGAACUUCCUUAAAAGAAAUGGAGACGGAGGAAAGGCAUCGUAUCACAUAUAUUUGAAAUAACAGGCUUGGCAGACACGCGGCUGCUGGAGCAGGACGUCUGACCCAACUCCAGUGAACGACACAUGAGGGAGAGGCUGCUGAGAGCGUUCACAGUUUCGACACACCCCUCGCCCCCGAUGUUGCCUAGACGUGAGCUGGGAAGUGCCAUGGCCAUCGGGCCACCUGCCUAACAUCGGCUCUGAGGAUGGGAAGCACCAGCAUCUUUAGGAUAGGACCGCAGCCGCCGACCUCCUGUUCCAGCACAGCGCCUGACACACAGGUAUCAAAUAAAUAGACUCUCCAGAAGCCUGUUCUACUUGCCAGACAACUUCUACUGCAGUUGGGUCUGCCCCGGCCAGAGUACACACCACUACCGGCCCCUUACAGGCCUGCCCAGCCCUGACACUGACCUGGGCCACACCUUGGCCUUGCCCACUCCAGCCAUGCCAGGUGCCAGGGCAUCAAUUAAACAGGAGUUUGUUGUAGCAGAGCCCAGGCCGCAGUCCCCAGAAGACAGAGCACCAGGGCGCUGGUGCUGCAGGGCAGACAGCAGCGUCCAGGCCCCUCCUGCCUCUUGCCCGUGCUUCGGUUCAAGGUCAUGGAGAUACCUG